GUUCGAUCAAAGAAAUUUCCUUUCCUCAUCUAUAUACAACUGAAGUUGCGCGCUGAUGUAAUUAAUGUCAUUGAUAGGGAUGUGAUAAACUAACAAUAAGGGAAAUUAAUUUUUUCUUUAUCUGUAUAUAUCAUAGGUGAUAUUGCAUUAUCUUCGACAGAGAAGAGAUAACGAAUUGUGCGAGAUCAACGAGCCGCGAAACGAAUUCGAGCGCGAGAGGCAGGCGCGCGCCUCCAUAGAGCGCCUCCUGGUGUUGACGGUGCGGACGGCGCGGUGCGUGCGCUCGGUGUCGGUGCUUGUCUUCGGCGCGCGGCGCGACACAGCACAGACAGAAGUCGCAGGAGGAUGCUGCUGUUGAUACUGAUUCGGAGGGGGCAGCCAAGCUGGACGAGCACCGACGAGCGAGCGAGCGGCUGAGAACGAGAACGCGCACGAGUGUUCGCGGCACCAAACCAGCAGCAGAGAUCGGAGCAAUUUCCGUCGUCUUCCUCGCGUGGCGAGUCGUGCGCGCGCGCACGCGAUUAAGGACACCCGAUUCGUGCUCCGGGCAAUCGGCGCGCUUCUCCUGGGCGGUGAAUGAAAUGUCUUCGCGGGCGACCUUCGCGCUGUCGCGACCCGGUUGAAUGUAAUUUCGAUCGACAAACGGGUUCGACGUUCGUCUUCAUGCUCCUCGGGGACACGUCGAGUGUACGUCCUUAAGAUAUAUAUAACCGCGAGGUGUAUCCAGAUUGCGACGACGACGACGACGGCGACAGUCGUCGCCUUGGUACCAGCAGCGCCGACUAAGAUACGGUGAUCCAGUUGUUUAUAAAUGCUUGAAGUCUCAAUGAAGCUUAUGUCGUCGACGUCGGUGUCGUCGCCGUCGGAGUCGCCGUCGAAAUCGUCGUCGUGGUUGCUAUCGCUAUCGCCGCCACCACCGUCGGAGUCGUCGUCGUCGUCUUCGUCGUCGUCGUCGUCGUCAUCGCCGUCGUCGUCGUCGUCGUCGUCCUCAUCUUUAUCAUCAUCAUUGUUACCGUCAUCGCCAUCGUCAUCCUCGUGGUCAACGUUCGCAACGUGCUCCUUAACGUCGCUACCGCCGUUCACCACGUCACUCGUCGCUUUACCUUUACGUCUAUAAGAAAGAGUCAGUGCUGGACAGUGUAGAUUUGUGAUAGCAAGAAAAGAGAGACAGGAUGCAGGCGAGUAAUAAGAAUAUAAACAUCACUAUGUAUACAAAGGCUGUGGAGGUAUCCCAGCAACUGCAGGAUGGAGAGAAGUUUGUCAAAUGGGACGAGGAUUCUGGAAUGGCAACGCCGGUGACUUUGAAAGUGGAUAAAUAUGGUUUUUACUUACAUUGGGUGGAUCAAAAUAAUGAAAUGGAUAUGCUGGACAUAGCAAUUAUAAGAGAUACACGAACAGGAAAAUAUGCAAAAAUACCAAAGGAUCCAAAAUUGCAAUCUUUUGUAACAAUGGGUUCUCAAGAUUCCUUAGAAGAUAAAACUGUAACAAUCUGUUACGGCUCUGACUUUGUCAAUUUGAAUUUUAUUAAUUUUUGCACAACACGUGCAGAAAUAGCACAACAUUGGACAGAACAGCUUUUUCAACUGGCAUACAAUUUGAUUCAACUAAACACUAGCACAACUAUGUUUUUACUCAAAGCGCACACCAAACUGACACUUACUGCUGAUAAAUCAGAAAAAAUACCAGUAAAGAAUAUAAUAAAAAUGUUUACGCAGAACAAAGAAGAUCGCAAGCGUGUUGAGAAAGCACUCGAUAUUUCUGGCUUUCCAUCUGGCAAAAGCGACGUUGUGCCAUUGUCAAAAUUCCAAUUCGAAGAUUUCUUCAACUUUUACAAGUCUCUUACUCAGAGAUCAGAUGUAGAAAAAGUGUUUGAAGGGAUUAUUGGCAAUACCAAACGCAGAUUGAUGUCCAUUGCACAAUUCGUGGAUUUCUUGAACAAGACGCAGAGAGAUCCACGCCUCAAUGAGAUACUAUAUCCGUAUGCAAAUGAAGCAAGGGCAAAGGAUAUCAUAAAUCAGUAUGAACCUAACAAGUGUAAUGCAAAUAAAGGCCAACUCAGUUUUGAUGGAUUCUUGAGAUAUCUCAUGAGUGAGGAUAAUCCGAUUGUUGCUAUCUCUAAAUUUGAAUUGUCCGACGAUAUGGAUCAAUCGCUUGCACAUUAUUUCAUAAAUUCUAGUCACAACACAUACUUAACGGGACAUCAACUCACUGGAAAGAGUUCUGUGGAAAUUUACCGUCAAUGUCUUUUAUCUGGUUGCCGAUGCGUCGAAUUAGACUUUUGGAAUGGCAAGUUCGACGAACCUGUUAUCGUUCACGGAUAUACAUUUGUACCUGAAAUAUGUGCCCGAGAUGUGAUAGAGGCAAUUGCUGAGAGCGCUUUUAAAACUUCUGAAUAUCCGGUCAUUCUCAGUUUCGAAAAUCAUUGUAAUCCAAGGCAACAAGCCAAAAUCGCACAGUACUGUAGAGAACUUUUCGGGGAAAUGUUACUUGAUGCACCACUCGAAUCGCACAAGUUAGAGCCAGGUCAAGAGCUCCCACCGCCAUUGUUACUAAAGCGCAAAAUAAUAAUAAAAAAUAAGAAAAAACAUCACCAUCAUCAUAAAAAACAUCAGAAAAAGCAAUUAAAUACUGCUGCAUAUACUGCUAAAAGUACUCCCGAGAAUGAAACAAAUGGAACAGUGAAUCCAUCCGCUGUAGGAGAAAACGGUCCACCGCCGGAUAUAAUACCUCAAAAUGAAAUGGCUGAUGAUGUUGCGCCUGGAAAUGAACAGCAAAUUGGGAAUGGUGAUAUUCCUCAUCCCCCCAUGUUGCAACAAAGACAGAGUAGUAAAGAUAGUGCUCAAGAUGAUGAAGACGAUGAAGAUGAAACGAGUACAGAAGAGGAUGAGUCUAAUGUGGAAUUGAGAAUAGGUGACAAAGGACCUGCGCCAGAUAAGCCAACCGCGGCCAAAGAGACAGAGGCGGGUGCCGAAAUUUCUGCUUUAGUUAAUUACGUGCAGCCUGUACACUUCAACAGUUUCGAAUCGGCUGAAAAAAAGAAUCGUAUGUACGAAAUGUCAUCUUUCGACGAGAAACAAGCUACGACUCUCUUGAAGGAAAGACCACUAGAAUUUGUAAAUUACAACAAACAUCAAUUAUCCAGAGUUUAUCCAGCAGGAACGCGAUUCGAUUCUAGCAAUUUCAUGCCACAAGUAUUUUGGAAUGCGGGCUGUCAGCUAGUUGCAUUAAAUUAUCAAACGCUUGAUCUGGCGAUGCAAUUAAAUUUGGGGAUAUUUGAAUACAAUCAACGUUGCGGUUAUCUAUUGAAACCGGAAUUUAUGAGAAGAAAAGAUCGGCGAUUAGAUCCCUUCGCCGAAUCUACCGUUGACGGUAUUAUUGCGGGCACCGUUCACAUUCACGUGAUAUCCGCACAAUUUUUAACUGACAAAAGAGUAGGCACUUAUGUAGAAGUGGAUAUGUAUGGUUUACCGGCGGAUACUGUAAGAAAGAAAUUCCGCACAAAAAUCGUGCCGAAUAACGGUAUAAAUCCCAUAUACGACGAAGAACCAUUCAUAUUCAAAAAGGUAGUUUUGCCGGAACUUGCCUCGAUAAGGAUGGCCGCAUAUGAAGAUUCCGGACGUUUAAUCGGUCACAGGGUAUUACCCGUAGUCGGAUUAUGCCCAGGGUAUAGACACGUUGCACUAAGAAAUGAAUGUGGGCAACCGCUACCAUUAGCGAGUUUGUUUUUACACGUUAUCGUAAAGGAUUACGUUCCUGAUGGUCUGAGCGAGCUUGCCGAAGCUUUAGCGAAUCCUAUCAAGUAUCAGAGCGAAGUAGAGAAGAGAGAGAAUCAAUUGUUAGUUCUCACGGAUUGCUUGGAGGCUCCGGAAGAAAUUGAAGAUAAGAGUAAAGUUGGCGAUGCUCCUAGUUCUGCUAAGCCAGCUGAGGAAGUUGUAAAGGCUAAACGAAUGCAAUCAAUGGGUGAAUUACCAGGUCUUCUACCUACUCCCAGCAGUUUACAUAGUAGACCAUCUAUUGGUGGCUUAGGUAGUUCGGAUACAGUGGAUGUAGAAGACGACACCCCAAGUCCUGCAGUUCAAGCAGUUGAUACAUCUAUAAAUAAAAGUCCAGUCAAUGCUAGCAAUAUAAGUGACGAAAUAAUGGCCGAAAGUUUGGAGAAACUCAUGGAAAAUAAGUUAGUCAGAGAGAAGAAGAUGGAACUCGAGAAGAAACUUGAAUCUUUAAGGAAAAAGCAUGAGAAAGAAAAAAUGCGAAUGCAGUCGCAAAAAGGCUCGCUCGACGGCGAGAAGCAUAAAUCGAAAUUCUAUAUGAGCAAUAAGUUGGUGAAGCGGCUAUCGAGCAAAAAUAUUAGCUUUUCGAGCGAAGUGGGUUUAAGUACCUUAGCCAUAGCUGAGUCUUCUGAAUACUCAGAAAACACGGAGAAUCGCGAGGGAAAUGACGGGGCGUCCAGAGGUUUGCCUAGAAGUCAAAGCGAACGAUUUUUGGCCAUAUGUAAGGUGCACGUUCAACAGGAACGUGAACUUCAGGAAAAAUAUUACGAGAAUCUUUUUACGACUGUCGAAAAAGUGAUGAAAGCAUCGCAGUCCAAUCAAUUGAAAAUGCUCCAAGUGCUUUUAGAGAGAGAAACCGCCGACGUUAAACGAAAACUGCAGGCUACAAGACAGGGCGAGGUCAAACAAUUGGCCAAAGUACAUAAAGAUAAAGCCGAGCUGGAACGCAUAAAACGAGAAGUUGCAAAAUCGACCGUAGAGAAAGCUGUGAAUGAAUGCACGCGCUUAACGAAAAUUUUCGACAAGAAGAGAACGGAAUUGGAAAGACAACAUGAGGAAGUACGGCAAAGGCUGGAAGAAGAGCGAGCCAAGGUAAAAGCUAAUUUGCUAGCAGAAUAUAGUAGCCGCUACAGUAAAUACGAGAGUGGUGAGUUACCCUUGUCACCAUCUGGUGGAGCUAGCUUACCAGAGUCACUUAGCGAGAAUACGUAUUGACUCGCGAAACGGGUCGUCUAGCUAUGUGUUGACUAAAGGUGUGAUAUCGGUUCAUGAUGUUUUACGCCAUUAUACGCGUCGUUUAAAGCAUCCAGUUAUGCAGCAACUCUGUAUAUUAAACGUCGCGGUUUGUAACGAGAGAUAUGUGGAAGAGAAGAAAACGGAUAUUAUAUAUAAAUGCAAUAUUUCUCCGACAUUCGUAUAAGGAAAUGAACCAAUAACGACUAACGAACUGUUUGUAUACAGUACUUAUCUAUAGCUGUUUAUGGCAAUGAUUCUUGCCAUCCCUUAUUAGAGAUGUCAAUAUGAUGAUGUUGAUGUUGUAUCAAGGAAUCACAUGAUUUGAGGCAGCUUGGUGCUACACAAAGCACGACAAGUACUAUAUAUAUAUACAUACUGAACUUUUACCAUUUAAUACUUUGGAGAGAUUAGAUGUCGAAUAAUGGAUUGAGGUAAUUUUCUAGUACUUCAAUGCUGUGUCCUUUACUACAAUGAUCAUUAUUCGAUUGAUGCGUUAAUCGCAUACAUGUUGAUCAAUUUUUUAAUUGAUCGUGUCUGGCUAGGCACAUGGAAAUGUCAUGAUCUCUUUACGAUAAAACGUCUGCUUAUAGUAAUAUGAAAGAAAAAGAGACAAUGUCAACUUCAAUAUACAUGAUGAAUAUGAAUUUCGCAUUAUUUGCACACAGUAUUAAGCAGUCUGAGAAAUUCCGGAAUCUAAGACAGUCGCUGACGUGAUACAGUCGGUUACAUAUUCGUAUGAUCUUAACAAGCAUUAAGACCGCGAUAGAUAGGCGCGUGAGAAGUAUAUGUAUAUAUAUACAUAUAUAUAUAUAUAUAUAAUUCUAAAUAAGAGAAAAAGAAUAUACAACCUUCCUAAGUGCUAACAUUUAAUAUUGUUGUUAUAUGCAUAAGUCAUGGUUAUUUAAUCAACUACAUAUAAACUAAGUCUAAUCGCGUUCCAAGAUGCUCCGUUUAGAUUGAUCUUUGACUAUUAAGUCAGAUCUCAGGAGAUUCCAGUCAGAAUAACGCAAGAGGUACAUAUACAACCGAGAGGGUGAAAUCUCUUUGGCCUAGAAAAAAAAAAAAUUCGACAAAUUUGCACGAACGCGCGAGUGAUCUGAUAUAUUUUUGACUGAAAGUACUCCGUAUAUAAACUUUUUUUUUUUUUUGGGAAGAGGGGAUGCCCGUACCGUGGCAAAAACCGUGAUAUUUUCCUGCCGAAGGCACGAGAAUGUCCCAGUAUCUCAUUACAAUAGGAUCCGGACAACUUUGGUUAUUCUAUUCUUUACAUAUAUAUAUUUUCAUCAAUACUAAUAUCGUGUCAUAAUCAUAUAUAUAAAGGUAGAUUCAAUAUUGAUUAUGUAUAUUUAUCUCAAGAGAAGGAGAAAAUUAUGAAUUAUUUUCUUUUUUUAUCUACGCAAAUUGGAUUCAUAACUGUCUUUUAUAGAAAAUACAUAAUUGAGUCUAUUUUUUUUAGUGAGAGAGUGUUUUCAACUUGGAAGAGUUAUCUCGCGCAUAUUUAUAUCUAGAGAGAGAAAGAGAGAUUGUUUCUCUUCUUUAUUCAUUUAUAUGUGUGGUGUAAUUAUGACAGAUCACGUGACGGGGCGCGCGCAGCCGUACUAUAUUUGCGCAACUACAUUCGCGCAAGUAUAUGGCCGUUGUUGAACAGUUUCGCGCGUGGUGUACUUUUAUUUUUUAAAAGUUUUCCGCUUUUCUAUAUUGUUAGCCGGAUUCUACUGUAUGUAGAUCGAUUCUUCUAUUAUCUUCGUAUCACGAGCAGUCCGGUCGGGCGAACCUCUUUGAGGAAGACAAUCAAAAAUGUUACGAGACGAUAGUGCGCAUCCCGUAAACUUAAAAGAAUGAUGGAUCCUGAAGUAAUAUCCCGUGCACCUCCUUCUGAUGUAAUGAUAUUUGGUUUGCUGUAGAUGUAAAAGGUAUGAUAUUUGGUUCUCAUUUUAAAUAGUCGUAAUAUGUCGCGUUUUUUGAGAUUGUAGCUGAUAUAUAUGUACAUAUAUUUCCGGUAAAUUUAGAGAUUCACGUAAACGCAUAUACAUAUACACGCGUGCGCGCACGCACGGGGAACCAGAGAGAGAAUGCAGUUACCGUUUAUUAGACGAUGCCAAUUAUCGCGAUAGCAUUUCUUCCGUAAAUGAAGUUACCGAUCGUUCGCGAAGUUGUAGAAUGUUCUGUGGCGAACGCGACUGAUUUUAUCCGGUCACGGGGGUUGACGGUAGAAAUAAUCGUAUACCUAACGAUAAUACAGACGCGAUAUUUAAGGCAACGUAUUUAAAUAAUUCUAUGCAAUAUGUCUGGAACAUAUGUGAGGAAAUCGAUAGCGUUCGUUCGUAUACUGUGUUAAUCGUAUGCGUGCGUGUAAGUGUCGAUAUUUUGCGAGAUUGGGCAGAUUGCCAUGUUGCGUCAAGUAUGCAUCCUUCGCGAGAUCAAAGAGAUGGUAAUAUAAUAUAAUAGAGGAAAUUGAUUAAAUAAUGUAUAAAUUCUAUUCAGUUUGCGAGAUUUCUAUCUCGUUUAUUAAUAACAUAUAAUCUUUCCUUGCAUAGUGAUAUUUAUUUCGGAUUUUCUUCCGAGAGUAUUAGUUUAUUAUAUAUUUUAUUAUAAAUGUGUUUCGUCUUUCUUUGAAGAAAAUCACUCCUUUAUUUUAAUAUAACACUUUUGCUUAGCGAAUGUAUCCGGCGCGUUUUAGGACAUGCGAUUAAUAGAAAAUCUUGAUUUCUAUCUCUUGUAUCGAAGCGCAUGAACUUUUAGAAUGUAUUUUGAUUAUCUAAACAUUCUAAACUACAUCUCGUUGGGAAAGAUAUUGAUAUGCAUACGAGAUAAUUGGGAUAUAAGAGAUAAAAGAGUGAGCGAGUAGAAUGCCAAUGAUAUUUCCAAUUAUGUACAGUUUGCUUUUCAAUUAUGUUCCCUAAUAGUAUUUAUUCGAAUUUUAUAUCGAGCUUUAUUAUCUUCGUUAUCUAAUUGAGGAGUUGGAAGUCGUUUGUUCGCUAUUAAUCUGAUAUACGGCAAAAAUCUGGAUAUUACAAGUGAUUAUAAAACUCACUUUUCUCUUGCUAUUUUCUUUCAUAUUAUUCAGAUUUUUGCUUGAAGCUCAUUCGUUUUUCAAACUACAUACAAUUAUUUAUACUGUUUUUUAUCCAAUUCCUAAAUUAUAGUCGUUUCGCGGAUAGUGUGAUCUACCUGUGCAUUUAUGUCUUUCAUUUAGAUCAAAUUGCAAGUUUACUGUGUGUAUUUUGUCAGAGAUCUUUUUCUGAAUAUUAUAUAUGGAUGGAUAUCGCAUACUUUCUUAGGGCAUGCGAUCGACAUCAUGUUCUCUUCCUACAUUCGUGUAAUGUACAUAUAUACGCGUGUAUGUAUGUUACACACGAUACACACGUAUGUACAUAAGUAUAGAUUUACGUUAACGGGACAUAGAUAUUAUAUUCACGUUGAUAUAUUAUGUGUUGUUGCUGUUGAUGUUGUUAAUCGUAGGAUAUAGUCAUAAAGAUGAAAAUGAUAGCGCUAGCAUAAUCGUUGUUAAUAUAGCAACUACGGGGGAAGGGGAAAAGGGAAAAGAAAAAGAAACACAAGAGUUCUCCACGUUAAUUACGACGAACACGUUCGCGCGCGGAUUAUUAAUCGCGCAUUGUCGAUUUAUUUUCGCGGAUGCGUGCGUCGCAAUGUUACCAAUUUGUACCUGCGAUGUUAUCUGUCUUAACCGCUCUGGCGUUGACUAAUGUUAUUCUAGACAAUGCUUUGAAUGAAGGACUCCCAAUUCGAAGAUUACUUUUAGCGUCAGCUUUUUAGAAUUCUAUGUGAUGCUUCACGCUAAGGUGGUUGAGUCUAGCGACGAGUAUCUCCGGAGAUGCUAUUCGAGCUACUCGAGAGAUUUGCCAAAUAGAUAUUUAGAGAAGACGUUCAGCAUCGAAGAUCUCUGUAACGGACGUGUUUGUCGUUCUAGAAUAAACGUGUGAAGACGCGUAGGCGUAUUAUAUUAAACAUAAGGUAUGUGUAGUUUGAAACGGCCUACAAACGAUCGUAGUGAUUUGGCUCAGCUAUAUAUUAUUCUGUUGUUUUGAAAGUAUUGCUCUCGUCGUACUUGUCGAGGUUCAAACUGGAGCGUCUAAACGUCCGCCGCUGUUACACAAUUCCUGUCGAAACUAAUUGUAAGCAUAAUGUUACCCGCAGCAGGCUUAUCUAAGGAUCUUUUGCUAUUUAUCUCUUUCUCUUUCGAUAUAUAUAUCGUCCAUCCUUCGAGUUUACUGUAAUGAGGAUCUCCCAACAACGAUUCUUCGUACCUGACCGUAUUAUUCCUCGAUCUUGCGUCCUCCUUUGAUCCUCUUGAUAAUCUCUUCUUUUUAACUCUCAAGAGAGUUUUUUAAGUAUUGAAGAAAUGGCGGUCGAUUAGGCUGCACCGAUAUUAUGUAUGUAGAUAUUAGAAUUCUAUUGUUGCGCGGCCGUGUGUUUUUGAAUUAUCUCAGUUUUCGCAGCGACAUUAUUGCCAAUUCUCAGCCGACAAUGAAAUAGCGUAACUCGAUGUACAUAAGAUGCAACGACGAUAUUCUUGUGGAUCUAUAAAGCUUUGUGUUGUUGAUCUGAGUUGAAGAAUUUUUUAUUUCGAGUAAUAACUUUGUCUUACAACGCUAUACAGUGGCAGUCGAUAGAGCAUUUUGAUUUAUUUUGCGUAAAAUGCGGAUGUUAAACGCACUUGAAUGCGUUAAAUGCAGCGCGAAUCUUGACGAUUCCGUAUCUGCUUCGUGAUCGAGAGCUCGAUUAUCGAGAUUGUAAUGUAGCUAUAUCAUAGAGAUUUUGCGUUGUAGAUGGUUUACUCGCUAGAUAUAUCUAUGUGAGUGUGACUAUUCGUAAUAACGAAAAUGGAGAAAGAUGCGCCAGAAGAAAAGGGGAAAAAUAGCAUGUGAGGAGAAAAAAAACAAACUUAUCGAAACGAUUGUAAUUGUAGUAACGAUCGAUAACGCGAAUGUACAAAUGCUUGACGGUAUUGUACGCACAGUAGAGUAUGCAUAUGUAGAUGUAUACGUUACCUACUUAUGUAUCGGGAGUGUAGUUGCAUCUCGUGCAAAUGAUUUUGUCUUCCCUCUUAGCUUAUUUGCAAUAACUCGAUUUACUGUAGAAAUUUCAUAAUUCUUAGCGUUAUCGUUGCCGUCUCGAUGAUUCUAUUGUCUGAUCAUCUCAUCUACGUUAACUUAUCUUUGUAAUGCAUCACACAAUAUGAGGGGUCUGAUUUAUUAAUGUCUCGGUUAUAUAUUUGUCAUCCAUAUUUUUUAAUCGACGAUUAGUUCCGUUUGUCAUCGAUCGCGUACUUCUGUUUUGUAAGCGACGAGAGAUUAUAAUAAUUUGUUGUGUUCACAUUAUUUUCUUUUUCCCUUGUGAUUUUCCUCUCCCAUUUUCCGUUUAUGAUAAUCAGGAGUUCAAUCAUCAUUUCUAUAUAUAAUUAUUAACAGGAAAUAUUAAAAUUUAGUGCUUACGCGUACGCGAGUAAUGAACCGACAACCUUGUGGAUUAAACAAUAUAAUUAAUAAUAUUUGUUAAUUGAUUCUUAGCAUAAAUCUAUAUAAAUUAUUUUGCUGAUUAUCUUGUUAUACCAAUAUCUUUUUAUGAUAAAUUGACUUAAGUUUUUAAUUUUUAAUUGCUAUGCAUGAUGUGUUUUUCAAUCAAUAUUUUCAUUCAUUUCUACUAAGUUCGAUGACAAACAUUUCGCAAUGAAAGUAUCUAGACAGCAACAGUUUAAAACUAUAAAAUGUGUAAUUAACGUGGUACACGCUAUUCGCGUUCUAUAACACUUGUACGUAAAAAAAAAAAAUUAUAAUAAAUGUGGCUUUCUCGAACCACUAUAUUAUGCAUAGCGUAUAUUUCGGUAUAUCGGUUGUAUUGGACGUGUGACGGAAGAGUCAGAUUGAAAAAUAAAAACGCGAAACUUAAGAUAUACGUAACUUCGGCUAUGCGUCUGUCACGUAAUGACUUUUUCGACGCGAUAUCAAUUGGCCGAAGUAUUAAUGCGGUGAAGCUCUGUGCAGUAUAGUUUAGAUUUUGGACAGACAUCUGAUUUCUGCAGGUACUUAAGACUUUUACGGAUCAUUAAACCAGGAUCUGAGAAUUUUCGUUCUAUGAUUUUUCUUUUAUAAUACGACUUUACGCUCGAAUUCUUCGUUUCAUAAAAAAAGAUCUUUUUCUUUUUAUAAUAAAUCUAUAAUCUUUAUUUUAUAAAUUUUCUAUUUCUUUCGAUAAGCGAUUAAAUUUUAGGGAGACUACUCCUUUUAUUGACUGUUUCUUACACUUAAUAAAAAAUGCAUUCUCCGCAGAUCUAGCACUUUGUGGAUUUUAAAGUCAUAAAUUUUUCGUUUUUAGUGUUUGGAAUUUACAAUAAACAGAAUAUGUAUAUAGAUACAAAUCUUACGUUAUUCUUACAUUUUGCUUUUGUCACGUCCUUGCUGGUUUUUCAAGUUAUUCUUUUCAGCGGAAGUCUAUUCUACAUAUUACAUAUUCGAUAUUUUCGUUUUAAAAGAAGAAUGAAUUAUUAAUCGUUACGUUGAGGAAACAUGGACGAGGAAGCUCGUGAAUAUCAGUAGAAAUGAGAUAUUUGUCCCGCUAUUAGCAAUAGUUAUCGAUUAAUCACGUCGACGAUGUCUGACUAUAUAAUAUAUAUGUAUGUACAUUUGGCGAUGUCCCGAUCUUAAUCGCGGCGUAAAAGAAACGUAAUGGAAAAUAACUAAGACACAAGAUAUUAAUUUCAUCCAAAA